UCCGUAGGUGGAUAAUUAAGUCAGAGGUGAAAUCCUGCAGCUCAACUGUAGAAUUGCCUUUGAAACUGGUUAUCUUGAGUUAUUAUGAAGUAGUUAGAAUAUGUAGUGUAGCGGUGAAAUGCAUAGAUAUUACAUAGAAUACCAAUUGCGAAGGCAGAUUACUAAUAAUAUACUGACACUGAUGGACGAAAGCGUGGGAGCGAACAGGAUUAGAUACCCUGGUAGUCC
rnacentral:rRNA from 1 species